CCACCACCACGACCACUACCACCACCACCAAACAAUAUAGGAAUAAAAAUGCUUCCACUCUGAAAUCCCACCUGAUACGGGUAAUCACUGGUAAUAUGCACUCUUUAUAUUGAAACUCAUGUUACUGAAACUUUUGAUUAGUUCUGGAACGUUUUAUUCAAACAAAAUCUUACAGAGAUUUGAUAUCUUCUUUUCUUUUCUUUCUUCUUUCUUGUAGAGAUGGUAUCUCACUUUGUUGCCUAGGCUGGCCUUGAUCUCCUCCUGGCUCCAAGCAAUCCUGCCUUGGCCUCCCAAAGUGCUGGGAUUACAGGCAUGAGCCACUGAGCCCAGCCUGAGAUUUGUUUUGAUAUUUUCUUUUCUUUCUUUUUUUUUUUUUAAAUAAGCAUGUAAUAAUACUUACUGCCUCCCUGCUAGUGGAGAGCUCUGGCUCAGCAGUUCUCAACUCUGGCUACACAUUAGAAUUAUUUGGGAACUUUUGAUUUAAAAUGAUCUGGAUCAGGGCCUGAGCAUUAUUUUAUAGACAUUUUCCCCCAAGUGAUUGCAAUGUGCAGCCAGGGUGGAGAACACGGCAGAUGACAAAAUAAGUGAGUAAGUUGCACUGGGCGAUAUUGGCAGAUCUAAGAUUUAAAACUUGUUCGAAUGAUUGAUUAUUUAUGUGGGGGUGUGUGAAGAGAUGUGCAUCCAGGGAAUGCAGUUAUAUUGUGUCUGCCAACAACAUCAUUCCUAGUUCACAUGAUGGAAUAAAAUAAUCAGUAUUUUAUGGCAUACUAUAAAGAGUAGUAGAAUAUUCUAGAUACCUGAGCAAAUUUGACCACAGCUUCUUUAGGAGAAUCUUCUUAUUUUCUGCACUGAAUCAUAGGCAUCCUUGAGUGUAAAGUCAUAUCACAAUCAGUUAUUCUCCUUUGUAUGAAUGUCCGCAUUUAUUCAUUUAUUCAGUAAACAGAUCUUGAACACUUACUGUCUGCCAGGUAGGUGCAUUUAAUGUCCAAGCCACUGAAUGUUAGGCACUGAAUGCCCAAGGAAGAACUUAACCUUAUUCUUAAACUAAUAUCUUAAUAUAGAUUCUAGCACCAAGUGAGUGAUUCUCUGUCCCGUAGAGGAGACAAACAGGUGCACAAAAGUGGAGGCCAAGGUAACGAAAUUUAAAUGACUGUACAGCACAGCACCAACCAAUCAGAGCAGACCCAGUGACAGUAGUGCCCACCAUGGUGAAUACCGGCUGUCUGUCAGCUCCAAGUAUCGGUAAUACCAAGUGCAAUAUUUUAAACACCCAAAGAGGAAUGUAAACAAGAGGAGCAGACAGAAGGGAACCACUUUUAUAAUUCCAAAUUCAUGUUUCCCUCACAGAGGGAGCUGAAUUGGUGUGGUUGGCUAUACCAGUUUUCCAUCCUGUCCUGUAUACAUACCCCUUGCCAAGUGACUGCUGUUCUUCUUCCUGAGGAGGUGGAGUCUGUUUCCUGACUCCUUGGAUUCCAGCAGGCCCUCUGACUUGCUUUGGCCAGUAGAAUACAGCAGAAGUGAUGAGGUGCCCGUUCCAAGCUUAUGCUGUAAGACACCUUGGGUAAUUCUGCUUGUUCUUGCUCCUCUGUCAUCGCUGUGACAAGAUGCCCCAGAGAGCCUGCUGGAGGAUGAGAGACCUGGACAAAGCCAAGUUGCCCCACUUGCCCCAGACAAGGCUAUCCUAGAUCAGCUAAUAGCCAGCCAGCACCUACAGUGAAGUUUCUCAGCAGAAGCACUUUGACGUUAGGGGUUGGAUCAUUGUGUUUUGGGGAGCUGUUCAUUUUAGGAUGGUUAGCAUCAUCCCUGGCCUGUAUUCACCGGAUCCCAGUAGUACCCCCACUGCCAAAGGUGUGACAACCGAAAAUGUCUCCAGACAUUGCCAAAUGCCCCCAAGGGGCAAAACAGCCUCUGGUUGAGAACUUAUGCUCCAGACUUAUGAGUGUGUCCAGCUAAGAUCAGCAGUGCUACCUAGUUUCUGACUGCAAAUACAUGAGCAGUAAAUGCCUAGUGUUGUUUACCACUGAAGUGUGUGGAUAUAUGUCUCACAGCAUUGUUGCGGAAUAGGUAGCUAAUGCAGUGAUCAAAAACAUGGAAACAUGGAAGUGGGAGAUGGAACUGGACAAUUGGAAAUAGUCCAGUUGGGUGGGAACUUGACAAGUAUAUUUGUAGGUAGAGUUGGGUUAGUGUGAAGUACAGACGAGGCUAGAAAGCUAGGGUAGGCUGUAUCCGUGGAGACUUUAGGUGCCUUGGUAUGAACUGGGGAUAUGGUUAUUCAUGGGCGGGGGAGGGGUGCUGUCAGAGGUUUUAGUUAUGUAUUUAUAGCCAAGGAAACAGGGCUAUCAGUCUGUACUGUAGGCAGCAGUAGGGAGGGGGAAUUGGAAGCAGGAGGGAAGGCUCUGCAGUAGUUCAGUUGAUGCAUACAGAAGGCCUGAAUUAGGGAAUUAGGAGAAUGAUCAUAGGUGUGGAAAGGAGGGGAGGGCUUCCAGGCACGUUUGGUGUAAAAUGGAUACAAGUUGGUAACCUGUACAUUGCUACCUUUGCACAUUUGGUUUCCCCUGUCUCAGAGGCUCCUUCUUCUCGAGUGUUGCUCUACUCAACCAUCAAUACUCAGCUCAACACUCAGGGAAGUCUUUUUGGUAGUCUUCCAUGUCUUGUGAAGGCAGAGCUUGUAUGGCUGUCACCAUUGUUUUUUUGAUACAGAGUCUCGCUACCAUCACCCAGGCUGGAGUGCAGUGGCACAAUCUUGGCUCACUGCAGCCUCGACCUCCUGGGCCAAGCAAUCCUCCCACUUCAGCCACCCAAGUAGUUGGGGCUACAGGUGCAUGCCAGCACACCUGGCUAUCUUUUGGUAUUUUUUAAGAGGUGGGGUCUUGCCACAUUGGCCAGGCUGGUCUUGAGCUCCUGGGCUCAAGUGAUUCACCUGCUUCAGCCUCCCAAAGUGUUGGGAUUACAGAUGUGAGCCACUGUGCCCAGCCGUGCUAAUCUUUUUGUCAUUGAAUUGUCCAUCUUGUAUUUGAACUAAUAAUCAGUUGUAAGUCUGUCUCUUCCAUAUUAUUAGCUGCUAAUUCACUUAGUAAGCACCCUUUCUAUAUUUGGCCUGGUGGUAGGUGCUUGGGACACAGUGGUGAGUUAGAGAGAUACAUAAUUGCUGAUUUCUUGAAGCAUGUGGUCUAGUGGGGAGACACACAGAUAAACAGGCAAUUACUGUACAUGCUGUAAUGGGGGAAGUAAAGAACGGUUUAGGAACAUAUAGGACAGACAGCCUGGAAUGUGUGGGUGCCAGUGAAGACCUCAUGAGGAGCUAAGUGAUGAAGGGGUAGGACGUGGUGUGGGAGGAGUUAAAGCCAGGGAUCUGUGGGCUUUGUGGCUCUGGAUUAAGAGGAAACUGCACAUCUGAGGAAAAGAAGAAAAUUCAACAUCAUUGUAAAGGGUCUUGUAAACUAUGAUCAGAGCUGUGUUGGGAAAAAUCUCUGACUGAUUUUCAAUCUUGGCUGCACAACAGAACCAUUGUAUGGCGCUUUUAAUAGUAGAGGGACCUGGGCCCCACUCCAAGCUUGUUUAAUUACUAUGACCAGAGUGUGUGGCUCAGAUAUAUAUCUAUAUCUAUAUCUAUAUCUAUAUCUAUAUCUAUAUCUAUAUAUUUGUCUAUAUAUGUCUAUAUGUAUGUGUAUGUGUAUAUUUAAGGCUCCAUAGGUGAUUCUGGUGUGUGACCAGGGUUGAGAGCUGUAGGGCUACAGUGGAGAGCAAGAACUAGAGUAGAGGAGUAAGACUGGAGGCAGGGACACCAGAGAGACAAAGAAUAAUCCAGGUGGUGAUUAUGGAAGCUCAACCCAGAGUAGUUCAAGUGGGACUGGAGAAAGCAUGUAUAGAUUAAGAGACAUUUAGGAGUUAGAACCCAUAGCACUUAAGGUUGAUUGAAUGAAGGGGCCUGGAAGGGCACAGUUCAAGAAAGGCUCCCAGUUUCUGGAACAACCACAGAGAGGAAGGUUGUGCUCAUCGCUGAUCUAGGAAAUGUUAGAGGAGGAGCAGUUUUAAUGAGUAAGGUUUUUAGGUUUUAGGUGAGUUUGAGAUGCUCAUGGAACCUCCAAAUAGCAUUGUCCAUUAGGUUAUUAACUACAAGAGUCUGGAGUUCAGGAGGUGUAUCUAGCCUGGGGAACUGUAGCACCAUCCAUCUGACACCGGAGCCCAUGAAAAUGAAUGAAAUUGACCAGGGAGGAGGUGAAAAGUAAAAAGAGAACUGUGAAGAAUGACAUUUGAGGGAUGAAUAGAAAGAGGAACCUGCAGAGAAACUGAGAUAGGGAAGUGAGAAACGUGGACAAUUAAGUGGGAGAACUCCUAGUUGUUAAAUGUUGAAGACAACUAAUAGUAUCAGAAGCUAAGGCAAGAGAAAUUUUCAAGAAGGAAGGGAGGAACACAAUUGUCAAAUGCUGCCAGGAAGGCAAAUAAUGAACUGAAUAGUGACCGCUGCAUAUGGCUAAAAAGCUUGUUAGAGAUCUAGGCUGGAGCCAGUUCAGUGGAAUGGUGGGGCAGAAGCCAGACUGCUGGGGGCUGAGCAGUGAGUGGGAGGUGAGAGGGGUUAGACAGUGAGGGGUCCUUCACAUUACAUCCUGCUUUCUUUUUUUUUUUUUUUUUGAGACGGAGUCUUGCUCUGUCACCCAGGCUGGAGUGCGGUGGCGCGAUCUCGGCUCACUGCAAGCUCCGCCUCCUGGGUUGACGCCAUUCUCCUGCCUCAGCCUCCCUAGUAGCUGGGACUACAGGUGCCUGCCACCACGCUGGGCUAAUUUGUUUUUUUAUUUUUAGUAGAGACGGGGUUUCACUGUGUUAGCCAGGAUGGUCUCGAUCUCCUGACCUGGUGAUCUGCCCACCUUGGCCUCCCAAAGUGCUGGGAUUACAGGCAUGAGCCACCACGCCCGGCCUAAAUCGUACUUUCUUGGUCAUCACAGAAUCCUCAGCAGUCAAUACACUUUGAAUAAGUGAAAGUGUGGGUAUUGGCAGAGUAAGGAUUAAGUUGAUGCAACAUUUUUAGCCUGACUGAUUAGGCACAUGGCAGUGGCAUUUGCUGAGAUUUGAAGCAAAGCCAGAAGAAAGGGCUGAGCUUGGUUUUGUGUUUUAGAUAUGCAAUGGAGAAGAUGCUAAGUGCUGUUGUAGAUAUAUUAAGUUUGAUGCUCUUUUUCUGAUUAUUCUGUAAGUACAGCGUUGUCUUCAAAGUCCACUCCAAAUACUACCAAGUAUUACUUGGUGUUGAUCAGAAGUAGGGUUUCCCCUCAACUUUGUAUGCUUGACAAUAUGAUAGAACUUGAAAAAAAGAGGAAAUCUAGGAAUUUAAGAAAAAAGUCUGAACAGCAUCAUUUUGGGAUAUAAGUGAAGUAGAACUGAUAGGAAGGGGAACACAUCCUCUUUGCUUGAGGAAGUUGGAGUAGUUCUACCUCUGUUAUGGCAUUUAAAAAUUGCAUAUUUAAUUUUUCAGUGUAUUUAACUUCUCUUUGUCAUCUUGAAGUUGGGAACAUUCAGUUGUACUCUGAACCAGUGGAUAUUGUGACCUGGCACUGUGCCACUUGGGCCAGCUUUUGUUUCCUUAAUGAAUGCACUUCCUUCAUCUGUUAGUGAUAAGCAGGCAAGUGAGGAAUUCUUAUCUGCAUCUAUGGAUUGAACAUCUGUUUCUAUUCCACUGUGUUUCAGUUUUAACUUCUUUACUUAGAAAUUAAUGUGAGCAAGUGAGCCUCCUCUUUUUAAAGCCAUUUUGGAUUGAGAGUAUUUGUUAUCUGAGCAUUUUACAUGUAUUAAGUUGAUAAUUUAGAUUUUUUUCUAAUAUUUUGAGUGAUACAGAUAUCAUCAUCAUGGGUUUCCUUAAAUGUCUGUGACAAUGGGUUUAUUAAAAAUGUAAUUUUGUGCAUGGUGAUUUUUGGAGGGAUAUCAAACUUAUCCUAUGAGUGUUCAAUUUUGUCAGAGAGUUAUGAUAUAUUUUAUUCUGCAUGUUAAAAAUGUUCCAGAAAGGAAAGCAAAAAAAUCACCAUGGCAACUCAGUAGAAUGCCCUUAUUUUGUUUUUCUGAAAGGAAAAUUCUAAAUCUGAGUGAUGAGGUAUAAAAAAGAGCAAUGCAGAUUGUGUGUCUGGCUUCCAGGAAGUGAGCUCAUAAAAGAGUAGAUUUGAUGCCCUGGGUGACUCUAUGUUAUUUAGGACCCCAUUUCUUUUUUCUCAUAAGGAAGAGCUAUAAAAAGGUGGCGUAUAUAUUGACACUACUAAAACACAUCUGCCAAAGAGCCUGUUGAAUUUUUCUUUGUAAUGAAACUUUUUGGAGCCAACUUUUCUUUAAAAGUGGCAAGUGGCCUCAGAAAUUUGAAUUAUCAUGAAGGAAAACAACCCAACAACAAAUAAAUUUAUUCAUUGCAUUUCAAGAGGAACGAGUGUUUUGAGAAAAGACUACAAGGACUUUUGGCAAGUUGGAUUAAAUACUGAUAUCUGCUUCUUUAAUAGGAUCACUGUUCUUGUCUAUAUCUGGAAAGAAGACAAACCUUGGGCAGCAAAAUGCUGUUUUUAUUAUUAAUGCAGUGAUGUCAAUCCAAACUAGAUGACUAUGAUUCAUGGAAUCUUCAAGGAAAACCAAAUAUUCUUUUUUAAUAAAGUAAUGGAGCUGGGAAUUGCACAUCUGCUCUUAAAAAUCUGUUUUUCAUAAUACAGAACAUAUGUUAAUCGUCACAUCUUUUAUUAAACUGAAGGAAAAUU